AACCUGGUCGUUUUUCAGCUAGUGCUUCCCUUAAUUUUUCUAACUGAGUGCAAUAUUUGUCUGAAUUAAUGGUAUCACCACUAGAUAAAAGUUCAAAAUAGAGUAUUCCUUUAUAAUCCCACCAUACACACAAAAGAACUUUACGUGGAUGUAAUCCUGGUUUUGCACAGCGUUGAGGUAGCUGAUUUCGUUGCGACCAGCUACGUUUCCGUGCAGGGUUUUCGUAAAGUAUCCACUUUUCAUCACCAGUUACCAGGCGUUUAAGGAAUGGCUCAUGUUUAUUACGCGCAAGUAAUGACAUGCACGCUGUCGUUCGUUCAAGACGGUUCCGUUCCGUAUUUUCAGAACAUUUGACAUCUCUUGAACUGUCAAACUUCGUGAUUUUUCAACAAGAUCCCGAAUUUUAUCUUCGUCUGUCUGAGGAGGACGCCCGGAGCGUUCCUCGUCUUCUAAACAGAAAUUCCCAGCUCUAAAACGUUGAAACCACUUCCUACAAUUGCGAGAUGAAAGCGCAUUUUCUCCGUAAACAGCACAUAUGUUUUUCGUGGCAAUUGUUACAGAACUUCCUUUCCGAAAUUCAUAUAACAUGAGAUGUCGAAAAUGGAUAGGCAUUUCACUCAUGAUUUUUUACUGUUAGAAGUCACUGUGUUCACUAUAUUACGAUCUUAUACUCACGAAAAUCUGCUCUAGCCUGUUUUCGAUCAGCUAAGCUCAAGUGCAUUGG
rnacentral:misc_RNA from 1 species